GAUGAACGCUGGCGGCGUGCCUAAUACAUGCAAGUCGAGCGAACGGACGAGAAGCUUGCUUCUCUGAUGUUACCGGCGGACGGGUGAGUAACACGUGGAUAACCUACCUAUAAGACUGGGAUAACUUCGGGAAACCGGCGCUAAUACCGGAUAAUAUUUUGAACCGCAUGGUUCAAAAGUAAAAGACGGUCUUGCUGUCACUUAUAGAUGGAUCCGCGCUGCAUUAGCUAGUUGGUAAGGUAACGGCUUACCAAGGCAACGAUGCAUAGCCGACCUGAGAGGGUGAUCGGCCACACUGGAACGGAGACACGGUCCAGACUCCUACGGGAGGCAGCAGUAGGGAAUCUUCCGCAAAGGGCGAAAGCCUGACGGAGCAACGCCGCGUGAGUGAUGAAGGUCUUCGGAUCGUAAAACUCUGUUAUUAGGGAAGAACAUAUGUGUAAGUAACUGUGCACAUCCUGACGGUACCUAAUCAGAAAGCCACGGCUAACUACGUG
rnacentral:rRNA from 1 species